AGAUAAACCAAUGUAUUUCUUGUCACAGGCAAUCUAUCCUUUUUAUGCUUCAUCUGAGAAGGAACUGAGCUUGUCAGUAGGUGAUUUUGUUGUCGUGCGAAAGGUAAGUUCAACUGGAUGGUCAGAAGGAGAGGGUGGUUUCCAUCAGCUUAUGUUGAGAAGCGUCAGAGACUUCCGUCGUGUAAUCUGGCUGGUGAUGCUUAUUGAGUUACAAUCAUGU